CAGUCGCCACGGUAAUACGAAGGGGGCUAGCGUUGUUCGGAAUUACUGGGCGUAAAGGGCGCGUAGGCGGCCAUUCAAGUUAGAUGUGAAAGCCCUGGGCUCAACCUAGGAAUUGCUUUUGAUACUGUGUUGCUUGAGUUCGGGAGAGGUGAGUGGAAUUCCCAGUGUAGAGGUGAAGUUCGUAGAUAUUGGGAAGAACACCGGUGGCGAAGGCGGCAACCUGGUCCUUGACUGACGCUGAGGCGCGAAAGCGUGGGGAGCAAACAGGAUUAGAUACCCGGGUAGUCCCUGUCUCUUAUAC
rnacentral:rRNA from 1 species